ACGAAUUCGGUAUUACCGUACGAACAGAGGAUAUUAGCCAAUUUUCAACUUAGGUCGUAACAUACAUUAUAUAUCUGUGUGUUUGAACGCGUGAAUAUAAACGUAUAAAUCUGGCGUACCGGUAUCCCUUCGUAAGGGAUUACAUUGUUAUUGCCGUAUUACGGCGGACGCGAUUAGUCAAAAAUAAUAUAUUGCGCGUUUACGGAGCGAUCGUCAACGACGUUUAUGGUCUCCGCGGAGUGUUCCGACCGCCGUCGUCGCAAGCACUGUAACGUUGCGAACCGCAGUUUUAUUUAGCCGAUUGUCGUAAACAACACGGGCUAUGAAAAUAUAUCGUAAGAAACGAAAUUAUGCCGCGAACCGUUCGCAGUUUACUGUCGCCACCGCCGCUACGCGGCGCGCUCCAGUGUCUGACAAUUGUAACUAAAUCGCUGUGGGCAAACGACCGCGUCCAUUAUAUCGCUAUAAAUCGCACGUAAACGCGGCGAAAAAACUCGUCGUCGUCAUCGUCGUCCUCGGGGACGUCGUAAAAUAAUUAUUAUAUAAUCGUUGGCGGAGCGAGGACUAUUAUCCGGAUAAUGUGCAUCGGUAGCGAUAUUUCGGUUUUUUUACCGCCCGCGUCCCUCUUCCU